CGGUACGUACUGGCAUCGUCGGUUUCUCCCUUCUGACGAACCAUGAUGUCAUUUAUUUGGUGUCGUGGGGAAUCAGGACUGUUGCUUUGAAAAAAUUAGAGUGUUUAAAGCAGGCUCACGCUUGAAUACAUUAGCAUGGAAUAAUGAAAUAGGACGUUUGAUUCUAUUUUGUUGGUUUCUAGGAUCGACGUAAUGAUUAAUAGGGAUAGUUGGGGGGCAUUAGUAUUCAAUUGUCAGAGGUGAAAUUCUUGGAUUUAUUGAAGACUAACUACUGCGAAAGCAUUUGCCAAGGAUGUUUUCAUUAAUCAAGAACGAAAGUUAGGGGAUCGAAGACGAUCAGAUACCGUCGUAGUCUUAACCAUAAACUAUGCCGACUAGGGAUCGGAUGAUGUUAAUUUUUUAAUGACUCAUUCGGCGCCUUACG
rnacentral:rRNA from 1 species